rnacentral:rRNA from 1 species
GUGGGGAAUCUUCCACAAUGGACGAAAGUCUGAUGGAGCAACGCCGCGUGAGUGAAGAAGGGUUUCGGCUCGUAAAGCUCUGUUGUCGGGGACGAAUGUGCAGUAUUUGAAUAAAGUACUGCAAUGACGGUACCUGACGAGGAAGCCACGGCUAACUACGUGCCAGCAGCCGCGGUAAUACGUAGGUGGCAAGCGUUGUCCGGAAUUAUUGGGCGUAAAGGGAGCGCAGGCGGGAAGGUAAGUCGGUCUUAAAAGUGCGGGGCUCAACCCCGUGAUGGGAUCGAAACUAUCUUUCUUGAGUGCAGGAGAGGAAAGUGGAAUUCCUAGUGUAGCGGUGAAAUGCGUAGAUAUUAGGAGGAACACCAGUGGCGAAGGCGGCUUACUGGACUGUAACUGACGCUGAGGCGCGAAAGUGUGGGGAGCAAACAGGAUUAGAAACCCUUGUAGUCC